ensembl:lncRNA
CAGAUUUGCAGCAGCUGUGGAGGAGAAAGAGAGAAGGGAGAACAGUGGGACCAUAUAUUUGACUUUGUACAUCAUUGAUCUUUGCUCUUUUCAGUGACUUGUGAGUUCUUCAGGGUACUGGUGUGCUCCUGCAGGUCUAAAUCAGCUCUACUCCACAAAUAAACAAAAACACAAAUUUUCUCCUUAUAUAAGGAGACAGAAGAUCUGUAAUGAAUUCAUGCUUAUAAGAAAUACUGAAAAGAUAUAUUUUUGAGUACAUGCAUAGCCAGGGUUUUUGCAGUGUAAACAGGCUCUGUAAAACUGUGAUAUCUACUGGAAAACAGGGAAAAAUUGAUUAGUUUUUUUGUUUGUUUGUUUUUGUAUUAUGUUGCUUAAGGUUUGGUGUACCAGUGAUGUAAAAUAUAACAAAGCCUACAGUGGGGUAAAAAACAAAACAAAAACCUACAUGCAGGAAGAUUGAGAGGGUGUUUGAGGGAGAAGAGCGUUAUUGUUUUUAUGGUUUCUGAGGAUCACACGAACCACAGUUUUUUCUAGUGCUAUAUCCUAUUUUUGCUUGGAAAACUAUAUAAAAAAGAAAUGUAAUGCUACACUUUUAAGCACUGAGUCAUCAUAAAAGGAGCAAUGACUGCUCAUGUAAUUCCUAUUUCUUCUCCUGUACAAGUGCUCAAAAUGGCUCAAGGUACAUUUCCCAGCAUUCUCAAUGAGGUUCCUGAAGACUCGCAAAGGUUAAAAAAAAAAAAAAUCAGAUGAAGAUCUGUGAGAAUGCAAGAAAGACUAUAAGACUAUUCAGAGCAGAAGCCAUGGAGCAAGAUAUACAGUACAAGAGCUCAACGCUGAGAACCAAGGGCAUCUCCAGAAGAAGAGAAAAGCAAAGUCAAGUAAACUGUGUGAUGGCUGAGUGUUGAUGACCCUGAUUAGAGAUAAGGAGCGUGGCUAGGAACAGCUCAUGACUCUGACUGGAUAAGCACUUGCAUGCAUGGUUACGGAGUGUUUGUGGAAUAUUUUGUUGACAUGUAAAGGUGGAUGGGAAAGUUAAGAGAAAACUUGUGAGUGUAUAUAAGUGAUGUUAGAACCUGUAAUAAACAAUUUGGAUUGUUCACAUCUGAGUCUGUGCCUCAGAUGCUGCAUAGACCUAUGUAGAAUUUUGUAGAUUUUGCAUGUUUUGGGAGCUAUGGAGAAAAACAAAGCACUAAAAUUCCUUUCUUUGAUUUCUUGUGGGUUUUUUUAUUAUAUUUUUAACCUACAGCAGUACUGAAUGACUUUUCUUGUGUAUUAUUGUCCCUUAGAUUUGAUACAGAAAAGCUUCUCUAAUGAGAUCUCAAUUUGGAGAUGAGCAUUAAGAACUAGUACAGAUUGCAUUCUUUUCUAGGUCUCUCUCAUACAAGCUCUUACAAAGUUGCCUGGGAAUUCUUAUGUCUUCCAGUGCUAGCCCCACAGUUUUAGCAAUGCUGAUGUAAUAACUGCAUUUGUUUGUUUACCUUCUUAUCAUGAGCAAGAAAACAACUGAAGAAAUUUCUUAAGUUUUAACACAUCAUAACAUAGAGACAAUAUUAUUUAGUAUGUAUUUCUCAGACUACUGUCUUUGAGAACUGCAACAGAUAAUAAAUAUCAAAAUCAUAGAAUCACAGACUAUCCUAUAGUGUUGGAAGGUAACCACAGGGAUCAGUGAGUCCAACUUCUGGCUUCACAAAGGAUGAAACACUAGAUAUAGUUCCAUAAUAGAAACCUUUUGUUUACAAAAUUUUUCUCAUUUCUUUGCAACUUCAGAUUUGAUUCUAUUGACAGUUUUAUAAAUGUCUGAAUGCCAUAAUGAAUUACUUUCAUGUUUUCAAUCCAAUACCAUCUGUUAUUUUCUACUAUUAAUACAUAUUACAUAGUGUAAAACAUUUGAAAAUUGUUGAAUAUUGCUAUAGUUGCACCAGAGAUCUGCUAAUCAAAUGAAUUAUGCUAUCCUGUCUGUUUGUGGGACUAUUGAGUGAUGUCCAAUAAAGAGAAAUAUGUGGC